GGCCAGACUCCUACGGGAGGCAGCAGUGGGGAAUAUUGCACAAUGGGGGGAACCCUGAUGCAGCGACGCCGCGUGGGCGAGGAAGUAUUUCGGUAUGUAAAGCCCUAUCGGCAGGGAAGAAGAAAUGACGGUACCUGAAUAAGAAGCACCGGCUAAAUACGUGCCAGCAGCCGCGGUAAUACGUAUGGUGCAAGCGUUAUCCGGAUUUACUGGGUGUAAAGGGGGCGCAGACGGCGAUGCAAGCCAGGAGUGAAAGCCCGGGGCCCAACCCCGGGACUGCUCUUGGAACUGCGUGGCUGGAGUGCAGGAGGGGCAGGCGGAAUUCCUGGUGUAGCGGUGAAAUGCGUAGAUAUCAGGAGGAACACCGGUGGCGAAGGCGGCCUGCUGGACUGCAACUGACGUUGAGGCUCGAAAGCGUGGGGAGCAAACAGGAUUAGAUACCCCUGUA
rnacentral:rRNA from 1 species